CAGUCGCCGCGGUAAUACGAAGGGGGCUAGCGUUGUUCGGAUUUACUGGGCGUAAAGGGUGCGUAGGCGGAUUGUUAAGUCAGGGGUGAAAUCCCGAGGCUCAACCUCGGAACUGCCUUUGAUACUGGCGAUCUUGAGUCCGGGAGAGGUGAGUGGAACUGCGAGUGUAGAGGUGAAAUCCGUAGAUAUUCGCAAGAACACCGGUGGCGAAGGCGGCUCACUGGCCCGGUACUGACGCUGAGGCACGAAAGCGUGGGGAGCAAACAGGAUUAGAUACCCCAGUAGUCCCUGUCUCUUAUAC
rnacentral:rRNA from 1 species